GACGAACGCUGGCGGCGUGCCUAAUACAUGCAAGUAGAACGCCGUUGCGAACGGGUGAGUAACGCGUAGGUACCUGCCUCAUAGCGGGGGAUCACUAUUGGAAACGAUAGCUAAUACACCAUACUGUGAGAUGGACCUGCGUUGUAUUAGAUAGUUGGUGAGUUAAAGGAUCACCAAGGCGACGAUUCAUAGCCGACCUGAGAGGGGGGCCGGCCAAACGGUGGCGUGGAAACGGCCAAGACUCCUACGGGAGGCAGCAGGAAGGAAUCUUCGGCAAGUGAAGGAAGGCUGACCCAGCAACGCCGGGUUAGUGAAGAAGGGUUUCGGAGCGUAAAGCGCUGUUGUGAGAGAAGCGGUAACUAACCAGAAAGGGACGGCUAACUACGUGCCAGCAGCCGCGGUAAUUC
rnacentral:rRNA from 1 species